rnacentral:rRNA from 1 species
CGAAUGGGGAAACCCAGUGUGUUUCGACACACUAUCAUUAACUGAAUCCAUAGGUUAAUGAGGCGAACCGGGGGAACUGAAACAUCUAAGUACCCCGAGGAAAAGAAAUCAACCGAGAUUCCCCCAGUAGCGGCGAGCGAACGGGGAGCAGCCCAGAGCCUGAAUCAGUAUGUGUGUUAGUGGAAGCGUCUGGAAAGGCGCGCGAUACAGGGUGACAGCCCCGUACACAAAAAUGCACAUGCUGUGAGCUCGAUGAGUAGGGCGGGACACGUGGUAUCCUGUCUGAAUAUGGGGGGACCAUCCUCCAAGGCUAAAUACUCCUGACUGACCGAUAGUGAACCAGUACCGUGAGGGAAAGGCGAAAAGAACCCCGGCGAGGGGAGUGAAAAAGAACCUGAAACCGUGUACGUACAAGCAGUGGGAGCACGCUUAGGCGUGUGACUGCGUACCUUUUGUAUAAUGGGUCAGCGACUUAUAUUCUGUAGCAAGGUUAACCGAAUAGGGGAGCCGAAGGGAAACCGAGUCUUAACUGGGCGUUAAGUUGCAGGGUAUAGACCCGAAACCCGGUGAUCUAGCCAUGGGCAGGUUGAAGGUUGGGUAACACUAACUGGAGGACCGAACCGACUAAUGUUGAAAAAUUAGCGGAUGACUUGUGGCUGGGGGUGAAAGGCCAAUCAAACCGGGAGAUAGCUGGUUCUCCCCGAAAGCUAUUUAGGUAGCGCCUCGUGAAUUCAUCUCCGGGGGUAGAGCACUGUUUCGGCAAGGGGGUCAUCCCGACUUACCAACCCGAUGCAAACUGCGAAUACCGGAGAAUGUUAUCACGGGAGACACACGGCGGGUGCUAACGUCCGUCGUGAAGAGGGAAACAACCCAGACCGCCAGCUAAGGUCCCAAAGUCAUGGUUAAGUGGGAAACGAUGUGGGAAGGCCCAGACAGCCAGGAUGUUGGCUUAGAAGCAGCCAUCAUUUAAAGAAAGCGUAAUAGCUCACUGGUCGAGUCGGCCUGCGCGGAAGAUGUAACGGGGCUAAACCAUGCACCGAAGCUGCGGCAGCGACGCUGAUGCGUUGUUGGGUA